rnacentral:tRNA from 1 species
GAGGGUAUAGCUCAAGCCCUAGAGUGCAUGCUUAGCAUGCAUGAAGUCCAGGUUCAAUCCCCAGUACCUCCU